GGUCUGUGAUGUGAUGUAAAAGGUCUGAAGCCCAGAUUCCUGCCACAGCAGCCAUUUUCGCUCCCAGCAGCCCCUGCUGUUUACCCAUCAUGCUCCAGUGAUGCACUGUUGGUCCAGGGGGCUGCUGACAUAUAGGAUGUGACGUCAAAGUUUGAGUCUAUAGGAGACCCAAUAGUCUCAGUGUGUUGAUGGACAUCCAACAGAACCAAUGAUCAUGGAGCAUCAAGCUCUGGGGUGGGGCUGGGCCAGUGAUCUCACCCUUCUUGCUGAGACC